GACGAACGCUGGCGGCGUGCUUAACACAUGCAAGUCGAACGGAAAGGCCCCUUUGGGGGUACUCGAGUGGCGAACGGGUGAGUAACACGUGAGUAACCUGCCCUUGACUUCGGGAUAACUUCAGUAAACUGGGGCUAAUACCGGAUAGGAAUCCUUGCUGCAUGGUGGGGGUUGGAAAGCUUCGGCGGUUUUGGAUGGACUCGCGGCUUAUCAGCUUGUUGGUGGGGUAGUGGCUUACCAAGGCUUUGACGGGUAGCCGGCCUGAGAGGGCGACCGGCCACAUUGGGACUGGGAGACGGCCCAGACUCCUACGGGGGGCAGCAGGGGGGAAUAUUGCACAAUGGGCGGAAGCCUGAUGCAGCAACGCCGCGUGCGGGAUGACGGCCUUCGGGUUGGAAACCGCUUUCAGCAGGGGCGAAGCUUGUGGUGACGGUACCUGCAGAAGAAGCACCGGCUAACUACGUG
rnacentral:rRNA from 1 species